rnacentral:pre_miRNA from 1 species
AAAAAGACAAACCCUGGGUUUCCGUGUCCAACUUUAAUUGUCCGUCUUAUAUGAAUUUUUUUUUGUAAUUCGUAUUUUUAUUGUUGUUAGAUAAUAAAACAUGAUUAAUAUUUUAUACGUGACUUGUCUUUUUAAUUUUUUUAUAAUUUUUUCAAAUAAGACGGAUGGUCAAACGUUGGACACGGAAAAC